rnacentral:rRNA from 1 species
UACAGAGGGGGGCAAGCGUUGUUCGGAAUUACUGGGCGUAAAGCGCGCGUAGGCGGCUUUUGUAAGUUAGAGGUGAAAGCCCGGAGCUCAACUCCGGAAUUGCCUUUAAGACUGCAUCGCUAGAAUCAUGGAGAGGUUAGUGGAAUUCCGAGUGUAGAGGUGAAAUUCGUAGAUAUUCGGAAGAACACCAGUGGCGAAGGCGACUAACUGGACAUGUAUUGACGCUGAGGUACGAAAGCGUGGGGAGCAAACAGG